GAUGAACGCUGGCGGUCUGCUUAACACAUGCAGGUCGAACGGGGUAGAAAUACCUAGUGGCGGACGGGUGAGUAACACGUGAGAAUCUAGCUUCAGGUUCGGGACAACAGAGGGAAACCGCUGCUAAUACCGGAUAUGCCCUUGGGUGAAAGAUUAAUUGCCUGAAGAUGAGCUCGCGUUUGAUUAGCUAGUUGGUAGGGUAAGAGCCUACCAAGGCGACGAUCAAUAGCUGGUCUGAGAGGACGAUCAGCCACACUGGGACUGAGACACGGCCCAGACUCCUACGGGAGGCAGCAGUGGGGAAUUUUCCGCAAUGGGCGAAAGCCUGACGGAGCAAGACCGCGUGAGGGAGGAAGGCUCUUGGGUUGUAAACCUCUUUUCUCAGGGAAGAAGCUCUGACGGUACCUGAGGAAUCAGCAUCGGCUAACUCCGUGCCAGCAGCCGCGGUAAUACGGAGGAUGCAAGCGUUAUCCGGAAUCAUUGGGCGUAAAGCGUCCGCAGGUGGCAAUUCAAGUCUGCCGUCAAAUCCAGUGGCUCAACUACUGACAGGCGGUGGAAACUGAAUAGCUAGAGUGCGGUAGGGGUAGAGGGAAUUCCCGGUGUAGCGGUGAAAUGCGUAGAGAUCGGGAAGAACACCAGUGGCGAAAGCGCUCUGCUGGACCUGCACUGACACUGAGGGACGAAAGCUAGGGGAGCGAAUGGGAUUAGAUACCCCAGUAGUCCUAGCCGUAAACGAUGGAUACUAGGUGUGGCUCGUAUCGACCCGAGCCGUGCCGCAGCUAACGCGUUAAGUAUCCCGCCUGGGGAGUACGCACGCAAGUGUGAAACUCAAAGGAAUUGACGGGGGCCCGCACAAGCGGUGGAGUAUGUGGUUUAAUUCGAUGCAACGCGAAGAACCUUACCAGGGCUUGACAUGUCGCGAAUCUUUUUGAAAGAGAAGAGUGCCUUCGGGAGCGCGAACACAGGUGGUGCAUGGCUGUCGUCAGCUCGUGUCGUGAGAUGUUGGGUUAAGUCCCGCAACGAGCGCAACCCUCGUUUUUAGUUGCCAAUAUUAAGUUAGGCACUCUAAAGAGACUGCCGGUGACAAACCGGAGGAAGGUGGGGAUGACGUCAAGUCAGCAUGCCCCUUACGUCCUGGGCUACACACGUACUACAAUGCUUUAGACAAAGGGCAGCCAAGCCGCGAGGCCGAGCUAAUCCCAUAAACUAAGGCACAGUUCAGAUCGCAGGCUGCAACUCGCCUGCGUGAAGGCGGAAUCGCUAGUAAUCGCAGGUCAGCAUACUGCGGUGAAUACGUUCCCGGGCCUUGUACACACCGCCCGUCACACCAUGGGAGUUGGUCAUGCCCGAAGUCGUUACUCCAACCCGCAAGGGAGGAGGACGCCGAAGGUGGGACUGAUGACUGGGGUGAAGUCGUAACAAGGUAGCCGUACCGGAAGGUGUGGCUGGAUCACCUCCUUU
rnacentral:rRNA from 1 species